rnacentral:tRNA from 1 species
GCUCGCGUGGUGUAGUGGUUAGCACUGUGGACUCUGAAUCACCGACCUGAGUUCAAAUCUCAGCGCGAGCU